AAUCCCCCAUUUACGUACUAUUCAAAAUCUCAUAUCACAAUCUCUCUCUCUCUCUCUCACCAAAAUCGAAAGUUUGCACCUUCUUGUCAAGAAUUCUGCUGCGCCACUGCAACUCUGAAAAUUCAGCGACGUCGUGUCUUCCUCUGGAAUCGACAUCCCUCACCAAUCAUCGUCACACACCGAGGUCUUCGCUUUCAAAUGAUCGCCUCUGCUUUUAGGAUUUCUGGACCGAAUUCGGCUUGCGACCGACCAAGAAUGAUCGGCGACCACUGCUCGAUUUUGAGAAUGAGGUUGUGUUCAACCAUGACUUUGAGAAGAUGGAGGGCAUGGAACGGCGGCCAAUCGCCGGUCUUCUAGAGGCGGCGAUUGGACUGGCUGUGGACGGAGUUCUCGAUCGAACUGGCUAUGGACGGAGUUUUCGUCAAAUUGAAUGAGCAAUUUUAGAAUUUAGGGGAUAUUCAUGCGUCCAGUAAAUCUGAAUAUAUCUGUUCAUUUAGAUAUUGUGUCCUGUUCAUUUAUAAAUUAUUUUAUGUUCAUUUA